GUAUUUCGAUCAGUAAUACAUUAAUUGAAUUAUGACAAUUAUUCUCACUGAAAUUGAUGAUAUCGGAAGUAAACAUAAUGUGGGCGGACAAUUGUUUUAGAAUAUUUAGCAACUUUACAGAAAAAUGCAAAUGCAAAGGAACAUGCAUGCAUGAACUGCACCGAACAUGUAAAUGUAAAACAAUAUUACAUUAUUUGUACGUGGUAGCAAGUGUCACCUUGAGCGAGAGUACCAAAAUAGGAUUUAGAUAU
rnacentral:lncRNA from 1 species